GAAUUUUGCGCAAUGGGCGAAAGCCUGACGCAGCAACGCCGCGUGAAGGACGAAGGCCUUUACGGUCGUAAACUUCUGUCUGGGGGAAAGAUGAUGACGGUACCCCCAAAGCAAGCCCCGGCUAAUUCCGUGCCAGCAGCCGCGGUAAUACGGAAGGGGCGAGCGUUGUUCGGAAUUAUUGGGCGUAAAGGGCGUGUAGGCGGCUUCGUAUGUCUGGGGUGAAAUCAUGCAGCUCAACUGCAUCGAGCCUCGGAAACUGCGGAGCUUGAGGCUGGGAGGGGCUGGUGGAAUUCCCUGUGUAGCGGUGAAAUGCGUAGAGAUGGGGGAGAACACUCGUGGCGAAGGCGGCCAGCUGGACCAGUUCUGACGCUGAGACGCGAAAGCGUGGGGAGCAAACAGG
rnacentral:rRNA from 1 species